rnacentral:rRNA from 1 species
UGAGCAAUCUGCCCUUCUCAUCGGAAUAAGCGUUGGAAACGACGUCUAAUGCCGAAUACGACCUCCUUUCGCAUGAUCGGAGGUGGAAAGCUCCGGCGGAGAAGGAUGAGCUCGCGGCCUAUCAGCUAGUUGGUGUGGGUAAUGGCCCACCAAGGCGACGACGGGUAGCCGGCCUGAGAGGGUGACCGGCCACACUGGGGCUGAGACACGGCCCAGACUCCUACGGGAANCAG